AUGAUGUACAUGCAUCUGCAUGCUCAGGGCCUAGGAGCAAUGUGGCAUAGGUUGGAUAAUCAGCAGUUGUUCGUCGGGCGGGCCAACAAGCGUUUCAAGCUAGAUGCAUGCACUGGCCAUAUGGGAUGGGAAAAACUAGGAUUUGCACGAAGAAGGACAUGCCACAAGAACCCGCAAAAGAAGAACAAGAAGGACGUGACACGUGAUGAGAUCUACAGUACGAGACUACGAGCUCCUCCACGACAGUCCACACCAACACCAAACCACGGUGGUCGCCGAUCGACCCGGCCACGCCUGAGAGCAGCAUCUUGCCGGAGACAUGGCGUCCGCUCCUGCGGCGGUUCCCCGCAUGAAGCUGGGCUCUCAGGGAAUGGAGAUCUCGGCUGCAUGGGCAUGUCCGCCUUCUACGGCGCGCCCAAGCCCGAGCCCGACAUGGUCGCGCUCAUCCAUCACGCCGUCGCCACCGGAAUCACCUUUCUCGACACCUCCGACAUGUACGGGCCGCACACCAACGAGAUUCUACUCGGCAAGGUUGGUCCUAGAUUCCUAGAAGCUAGACUAAUUAGUCGGAGUCUGUUUCACCGACGUGCACUCAAGGUGUUCGAUGUAAUGCUCCUCGCAGGCGUUGCAAGACAACAAGUGGAACAUCCAGGGGGAUCCAGCGUAGUGCGCGCGGCUUGCGAGGGCCGCCUCAAGCGGCUGGGUGUCGACUGUAUUGAUCUCUACUACCAGCACCGCAUCGACAAAAAUGUGCCCAUCGAGGUCACGGUGAGUGUCACACCCCCACUUAUCUAUUUUGUUAGCUACAACGAAAAGGUGAUGCUGGACCCAGAAACAACUCACAUGAGUGAUCACCUGUCUCCUCUCAUUUUUAAGAUCAGCAAACUCAAAAUGUUUAGCUGA
rnacentral:rRNA from 1 species